UACCGGACCACCUGCAGCUGAUUACCUGACCAGCUGUUGGUAAUCAUCCCUCCCUGCUGGAGAGAGGUAUUUAACCUGGACUCGCGGCGACAGUCGACGUGGGAUUAUUACUCCGAACUGGAUAGCCGAGCGGAGAAGCGAGUUGGGGAGCACACGCACUAAGGGAGCUACAGCACGGGACGCACUGGGAGCAGGAGACGAGCACCAUUGGAAUAUUGCACCUUUGAGUUUAUUGUUGGACUUACCUGUCUGGUCACUGUAAAUAAAGUGCACUGUGGCAUCGAAGAGUCCCGCGUUUUGGGUCCUACUUUCCUCGUCCCCACGGUCUGCAUGGCAGACCGUGACA